CCUACGGGCGGCAGCAGUGAGGAAUAUUGGUCAAUGGACGAGAGUCUGAACCAGCCAAGUAGCGUGAAGGAUGACUGCCCUAUGGGUUGUAAACUUCGUUUAUAUGGGAAUAAAACAGGGUAUGCAUACCCUCUUGUAUGUACCAUAUGAAUAAGGAUCGGCUAACUCCGUGCCAGCAGCCGCGGUAAUACGGAGGAUCCGAGCGUUAUCCGGAUUGAUUGGGUUUAAAGGGAGCGUAGGUGGAUUGUUAAGUCAGUUGUGAAAGUUGGCGGCUCAACCGUAAAAUGGCAGUUGAAACUGGCAGUCUGGAGUACAGUAGAGGUGGGCGGAAUUCGUGGUGUAGCGGUGAAAUGCUUAGAUAUCACGAAGAACUCCGAUUGCGAAGGCAGCUCACUGGACUGCAACUGACACUGAUGCUCGAAAGUGUGGGUAUCAAACAGGAUUAGAUACCCGAGUAGUC
rnacentral:rRNA from 1 species